rnacentral:rRNA from 1 species
CUUUUCUUGUUAGUUUUUGAAGUAUGGCCUGCCCGCUGACAUUUGGUGUUGAAGGGCCGCGGUAUUUUGACCGUGCAAAGGUAGCAUAAUCAUUAGUUCUUUAAUUGUGAUCUGGAAUGAAUGGCUUGACGAGGCACGGGCUGUCUUAGUGUUGAAUGUUUUAUUGAAUUUGGUCUUUGAGUUAAAAUUCUUAGAUGUUUUUGUGGGACGAGAAGACCCUAUAGAGUUUGACAUUUGGUUUAUUUACUUGUUUGUUGUUUGUUUAUUUUUGGUGAGUGGGCUUUUUGUUUUGUUGGGGUGAUGGGAGGAAUGUACUUAACUCCUCUUAGUUUUGGUUAUAUUGA